rnacentral:rRNA from 1 species
UGGGGAAUAUUGCACAAUGGGCGAAAGCCUGAUGCAGCAACGCCGCGUGAGUGAUGAAGGUCUUCGGAUUGUAAAGCUCUGUCUUUUGGGACGAUAAUGACGGUACCAAAGGAGGAAGCCACGGCUAACUACGUGCCAGCAGCCGCGGUAAUACGUAGGUGGCGAGCGUUGUCCGGAUUUACUGGGCGUAAAGGGUGCGUAGGCGGAUGUUUAAGUGAGAUGUGAAAUACCCGGGCUUAACUUGGGUGCUGCAUUUCAAACUGGAUAUCUAGAGUGCAGGAGAGGAGAAUGGAAUUCCUAGUGUAGCGGUGAAAUGCGUAGAGAUUAGGAAGAACACCAGUGGCGAAGGCGAUUCUCUGGACUGUAACUGACGCUGAGGCACGAAAGCGUGGGUAGCAAACAGGAUUAGAUACCCUGGUAGUCCACGCCGUAAACGAUGAGUACUAGGUGUAGGAGGUAUCGACCCCUUCUGUGCCGCAGUAAACACAU